AUGAAUGUAGGGGUAUAUUUGUGUUGUAUGUAUUUGUCCAUGAAUGCAUGGGUAUAUAAAUAUUUGUGAGGUAUGUAUUUGUCCAUGAAUGCAGGAGUACAUUUUUGUGAUGUGCCUGUAUGCUUGAAUUAACUGGUAUAUAUGUGUGUGAUGUGUUUGUGUGCAUCAAUGAGUAUUAUUUUUUUGUGUUGUGUCUUUAUGCAUGAAGGCAGGAGUAUAGUGUAUUUGUGUAG